CCAGACUUUUCAAAGGGACGAUGAUCACAGUGAAACUGAAAGCAUAAAUUAAGGAAAGAUCAGUUAUGCCCUUUUUUUCAGGGACAAGUUUCAGGAAUCCAGAUUUUCUUUAUUUGAUAGACACAUAUGGAGUAACUCUUAGACUCCGCUGGACUAAAAAGAGACAGCUACACUCUCCAGUUAGAAAUGGCUGUUCAUACUCUGAAACUGAUCAUCAUCUAAUGUAAGUACAGUAUGGCAUAUCUCUAAGAUAAAUGGAGAAAGUGCAACCCAACUGAACGCUGAUGGCAGUUGCUUCCUGGCUUGGAGAAACAGCGAUUGCAUUCUUAGUUUUAACCUUUCUGGGCCCCAAGCUUAGGAUAAUAUAGUCUAUUAUUGGCCUGUUUCUCAUAUUAUUCUGAAAUUUCUAGUGUCUACCUUGUAAGAGAAAAACAUUACUAGCCAGGCGCAGUGGCUCACACCUGUAAUCCCAGCACUUUGGGAGGCCGAGGUGGGCGUAUCACCUGAGGUCAGGGGUUCGAGACCAGUCUGGCCAACAUGGUGAAACCUCUACUAAAAAUACAAAAAUCAGCCAGGCAUGGUGGCG
rnacentral:lncRNA from 1 species